rnacentral:ncRNA from 2 species
ACAAUAGCCUCGCCGCUGGGUGCCCUUCGCAGGGUGAAACGGGAAGCCGGUCCAAGUCCGGCACUGCCCCCGCAACGGUAGGUGAGAAAAAGACGAAUCACAAUGCCACUGGAUUUCAAUAUCCGGGAAGGCGGUUCGUACAGCUCUGGCUGCUCACAAGUCCGGAGACCGGCCCGGCAGGCCAAUUGGCA